rnacentral:rRNA from 1 species
GAUGAACGCUGGCGGCGUGCCUAAUACAUGCAAGUCGAGCGAACAGACGAGGAGCUUGCUCCUCUGACGUUAGCGGCGGACGGGUGAGUAACACGUGGAUAACCUACCUAUAAGACUGGGAUAACUUCGGGAAACCGGAGCUAAUACCGGAUAAUAUAUUGAACCGCAUGGAUCAAUAGUGAAAGACGGCUUUGCUGUCACUUAUAGAUGGAUCCGCGCCGCAUUAGCUAGUUGGUAAGGUAACGGCUUACCAAGGCAACGUUGCGUAGCCGACCUGAGAGGUUGGUCGGCCACACUGGAACUGAGACACGGUCCAGACUCCUACGGGAGGCAGCAGUAGGGAAUCUUCCGCAAUGGGCGAAAGCCUGGCGGAGCAACGCCGCGUGUGUGAUGAAGGUCUUCGGAUCGUAAAACUCUGUUAUUAGGGAAGAACAAAUGUGUAAGUAACUAUGCACGUCUUGACGGUACCUAAUCAGAAAGCCACGGCUAACUACGUG